UUCACACAGGGAGAGUUUGAUCCUGGCUCAGGACGAACGCUGGCGGCGUGCUUAACACAUGCAAGUCGAGCGAGGCCCUCUCUUCGGAGGGGUGUUCUAGCGGCGAACGGGUGAGUAACACGUGGGCAACCUGCCCCUGGCUCUGGGAUAACUCCAAGAAAUUGGGGCUAAUACCGGAUAUGACCGCUGACCGCAUGGUCUGGGCCCA
rnacentral:rRNA from 1 species